GCAGGUGAUUAAUCUGUUUACCAUAUUCUUGUACCCUUUUUUAGAUUGCAUUUCAUAAACUAGUUAUUUGUUUUCAACAGCACGUGUGGACAUGCUUACACUGCAUGCAUUGGGGUGGAACCACAAAAAGAGGGCCUCUCUACACCAAGCACUGUCCACUAGAUAUGUAAAGGUAAGUCUGUAUUUGUGGUUUUGUUGUGUCAUGUAUUGACACAUGUGUUGUUCACUUGGCUUGUUAAUCCUUAAGGGCUUUAACCUGAUUAUUGUAUAACACUAUCAGACAUGUCAAAGACUCCUGGACGAGACUGCAAGGCUAGCUGAGCUAAAAACAGAGCUACAUUGCUCGGAUGAUGAAAUGACAUCACAGUGGAUCUCUGAGGUGAUUGAAUGGGCAGCUGGAGGUAAGCAAGACCAGAUAACAGAAAUCAGUUCAGAGAGUGCACAUCGCAUGUUUUACACCCAAGUUGUAUUAAAAUGGAUUUUGUGUGUAGAACAAAAAUAGUCCUGUGUUCUGUUAUAUUGAAUUUACUGUAACUUUUAUUUAUAUAGAGACACCAAAUGCACCUCAUAUUACUGAGGGCACCACACAGAGUGAACUUCAGCAGUCCAUUGUGGGGCUCUACCUUAGUGUCAGGCAACGGAAACAAAGCCUCUACCGUCAGAAUGACAGCAGCAAGUUUCGCCACCGCCUUCGAAGAAAGCUGUGAGAAGACAAAAAAACUGCUUCUUCAGGAGAUGCAGAGGUACAAUGGACUCGUACCAGACUCUGCAGCAAUUGACGUGGCUGCUGUGGAGAACACAUUUACUGGAGAGAGCAAUUGAUGCUGCAUGACGGACUAGACUCCGCGCUGCCAGACCCAUCAAUCACAUAUCCAUGGACACAUAAAAACACGAUAGAAAGCACACAAUAAGAAUUACAAAAAACACAAUAAGAUCAUAAAAGUUGUAGUGAUAGUUUAAACUCCAAUGCAGAACACCAACUGACAGAGGCAUGAAGGAGUUCUUGUAUUGGGUGGUAGCUGGAACUGAGGCACUCAGAGUAGGAGAGUGAUUUAAAAAGCCUUUUUUGCAGCAUGGCCAUACAAUUUAAAAACAAGCCAACGUGUUGCGGCCACAGGCCUUCAUCAGGGCUGAUAUAAAAUGGCCACCCUUAUGUAACCUCCUAUAUAUAGGGAAAGGUCACAUGUCUUGGUGGGCCUUAUAGUAGAAACACAGAUUGUGGUGUUAUCAGCACAAUACAAUAUACAUCCACAUUAAAACGGACAUGAAAGAAGAACAAAUUUAAAAAAUACAAGCAAACAACAAUAGAGAACAAGAAGCACUGUAAAUCAUCAGGUUAGUUAAUAAGGGUUUCUCAUUCAGGAAGCUGAAGGAAGACACAUAUUGGCCAAGGGAGCUGGAUCCCGCCUAGAUCAAAGGAAAGGGGAGAAGUCGAGUUCACCAUUUAGGCCUGGGUAUUGUGCUAGCUUUCAGAGUAUAUAUCCAAAAGGAUUCUCUCUGUAAGAGCCUCCCCUUGCUGAACUAGCUAUAUGCUCUAUGCCCGAGAUCUUCAAGGUAUUACAGCUGCUGUGAUUGGUCUCGUGAUGUAAAGCCAUAGGAUAUUGGGGGUUGCCUGUCCUAAUGGCCUGUUUUUGUUCAGCUAAUCGUACCUUCAAUUUACGUUUCAUUCUCCCAAUAUAAAAUCAGCUACACAGGCAUUCCAGUCUGUACACAACAAACGUAGUGUUGCAAUUUAUAAAUGAUUUAAUAUCAUAUCUGUAACCUGAAGUAACGUCUGUGAAGUGGUUGGCAUUGAUCAUAUAAUCACAAUGAUUGCAAUUGCCACAUUUGUGAUUCCCUGUUCUCAUAUUGAGCCAUGUUUUUUGGGGAGCUGAAGUAAGAUGACUCUUCACCAGUUUAUCAUUAAGUUACCAGUUUAUUAAUUCUACUAUAAGGCCUGCCCAGACAUGUGACCUUACCCUAUAUGUAGGAGGUUACAUAUGGACAGCCAUUUUAUAUCAGCCCUGAUGAAGGCCUGUGGCUGUAACGCGUUGACUUGUUUUAAUUUGUAUGGCCAUGCUGCAAUAAAGACUUUUUAAAUCACUCUCCUACUUGGAGUGCCUCAGUUCCCGCUAUUACCUAGUAUUUGGAUCCUUACACUGAAGAGGACCAGAGGUAGAGACAAAGAGACUAACUUACAAACAACUGAUACCCAUGCAGCACUCAAGGCAUGUUUUUGAUUGAGUUCUUGUAUUGGUUUAAUCUGGACCUCUGAGCUCAGUAUCUCCUGCCUGAUGGUAACAGCUCAGACUGUGAGUGUAGAAUAUGGGAUGAGUCCUGGAUUCUCUUCACCUGUUCCAACACACACCUUUCAGAGACUGCAGAUUGUAAUUAUCUUCAAGGCCAAUCAUUUUCAUGGCGGUUUGAACCAGGUGCAUUAGCUUUAAUUUAGCAGGGAGGUUCUCAAACCAAACAGUCAUACCUUAUCUGAUUACGCUCUCACACACAGCCUGAUAAAAUAAAACAUAAUUCUCUGCUCAACUCUGUACAGUUGCAGUCUCCUUAGAAAGUACAAUCUUUGGAGGAGUCUAGAACACAUGCAGUCUACAUGGGUGGUCCAUGUUAAAGUUCUGUGUAUGUGGAAACUAAGGUACUUGUAGGACUGGAUUUGUGCAACUAGUUGGUUGUGGAUGACAAUUUUGCUGUGAUCACAGACUCCUUUGGGAUCGAAAAUUAUCUCCUCUGUCUUUUUAACAUUUUUUGUGAGAUGAUUGGUAUCUCACCACUCAACAAACCUUUCCACUCCAGAAUGAUAAAUGUUAGUGCUGUCAUGCACCUGAAGUAAGCUCAGCGCUGCAGAGUCAUCAGAGUAUUUGAAAUUAUAAUUCUGUGCGUGACUUGCUGAGCACUCAUUUGUGAACCGUGUGAACAGAACUGGUGAGCUGACGCACCCCUGUGGAGCUCCCGUGCUUAUGGUUUUUACCUGAGAAACACUAUUACUGACCUUAAGUAGCUGAGUUGUGUUUGUUAAAAAGGAGUGAUACCAUCUUAUAACUGAGGGGCUGACAGCCAGUUGUUUCAGUUUCUGAAUCAAAAGAUGUGGCUGAAGCGUGUUAAAAGCAGAGCUAAAAUCAAUAAAAAGCAGUCACCCCACUAUCCUCACGAUGUUGGCCUAUAUCUGCGUUUUACUAUAUUGCUAAGUUAUACAUACCAUGUCCAAGGCAGUGUCUAUAGUGUCCAGAAAUAAAAAUCACUGUGUGCACAUGAAUGGAGGUCAUGCAUUGUUUCUGUGUGUGUUACUUUGACACUUAUUUAAUAUCGUAAGUUUGUCUUAAAAUGUAUUAUGGAACAUUUAAGACAUAUAACUACAACUAUCACUGAAACUCUUUCUGUCAUCCUCCACUAUGGACAAAGGGCAACCUUCAAACCGCCCCCUUGGGAGGGGGGAGACUGGCGAUUGCACCGGCAGCAGCCGACAGAUUUAUUAUGUUAGGUUAUUGUUUAAUAAUCAUUAUGAAUGAGGGUGAGUAUAUGGUGCUUAGUGUUUACAAAAUCAACUUUAAUCUGUCUUCACAAAUUAAAGUUGGUGAUGUGUCUGAUUGGAGCACAGCUGCUGACAGAUGUGCAGCUGUCAGUAAGUACAUUUACAUGCACAGUUUAGUCAGAUUACAUCCAUAGGUGACUAUGCUACUCAAUCAGACAUUUUUUGGCCGAAGCGUGUCAUACCCCGGUACGAUAGGUGGCGCUGUACCCAUUUCAACUAGUGGUAACAGAGUUACCUCCGGCUGACCUCUUUACGUCACCAGCUGCCUCAGCAUUCAAGAAAGAUGAUGUACGAAAAGCGAGACGAAGCUACAUCUUUGUACAUUUCAUAUAUGGUGUACAUGAUAAUUACACAAACUAGGGGCACAAUGGCGCUCUUUCUUGCGGUGAUUUCGGAGGAAAGACGCAACCACCGCCGUCCGUCUACUUCCGGCUCACGGCCCCGGGGAAAAAAUCUCGCGCCUGCGCAGAACGCAAAAUCCGAUCCGAUCUGAUGGCUCUGAGUGACAGUUUCCUCAUCACUGAACGUGGGCCACAAUCUGAUCUUCAAUCACUCACGUCGUGAGGACGGGACAAAGUCUCUAGGACAUAUAAGGCAUAGGCCUUUCGCCUGUGUAUAUUCUGUGAUUUUUUUUCUCUCUUCAUCCGUCUCGUUUUAGUUUUUGGCGGUGCGCACCCGGUGUUUCUCUCGAGCGAGACCUAGCUGUUUUGAAAACAUGACAAAAUCCUACCGCCACUGAACGCAUCUCCGUCAGUCAAGCAUAUCUGUAGUCACGUCUGACAGACAUCUACUAAACCGUAAUAAAUGUAUAUGUAUAUGUUUUUCGGACAUACAUUUUCCAAUUAUAUGACCAUAUAUCUCAAGGUUAAACUUUUUGUAUUAAAAAGUAACCAGAUAUAUGUUUUCUCAACCCUAAUCUAUCAAUCAAACCCCAUCAACUGAAAACUACAAAGAUGCGGAAAUGUCCGGAAGUCGCAAUACACAUUGCUAUGCGCCACCAUGUUGUUUUGUAGUUCCAAUGUGUUUUCUCUAUUAUGUGAAGUCAUAACCAAGAAUAUUGUUGGCUUAUUGGUAGGUUUUAAGGAUAGGGAACACAUAUAAUAGGUGAAAAUUCAUGCAUCUUAUUGACAACAUGAUCAUGUUUUUUUUAGAUUUGGGCCUUCAUCAGUGGCGCCCCCUAUUGACACUGAUUCGGUUAUAGUAGUUUAGAUCAAGAGCUUUCCAAAACUGUUGAUCCCAUAUCUGUAGCACUUUUUGUUGCUGAUUUAGAAGCCUUCAAAAACGUCCCAAUUUCAAGGUUCAAAGGUCAUUCCUGAGGAGAAGGAAACACCCACAUGUCCCAUUCUGAAAUAUGUUACUCCCUAGGUCAAGACCUUUCAAAUGAUGUCUUCAUUGUUCACUUACGAUAAAAUUUCAUUUUAAUCUUGCUCCCAGCUAAGCCUCUUUCAGGUGUACUUUCUCAGAUGCCUUAGGGUCACAUAAGAUAAGCCCAACAUUUGUUAAGGCCUAUUUAAUGGCCAAAUAUGUUCAAGAUAUUAAUGUCUGCCUUCCACACAGUCAGAUUUUUCAAUUUGGAUCAGAUAAGACCCAAUCUUCCCCUACAAAUACAUAUUCUUGCAAAUAAGCAUAUUUCCCCAUUCCCUUAAUAUGGCUAUAAACAUAGCAUAGGCUAUAGCUACUGCACCCUUUCCCACGCUGACAGGAUAGAUCAGUGGUUUCCAAACUUUCUCUACUGCGGGCCCCCCUUUGGCUCAUUAGAAUUUUCUAAUCUAGCAUUCAGGAACAUUCUCAUCAUUGAUUAAAACCAUUUAUUGCAACAAAGUUAUACAGUUAGACUUGGCACUGAAGGCUCCACUGUAGAAUGGAUGUGAUUGGGUAGAGACUAAUCAGCUGGCUGUCAGAUGACAACAGCUGGGGGCCACUUACGACUUCAAUGUCCUGCAUGAAUUUGCGCAAAGCUUCAUUUAUAGAAGAUGAUGAUGGUUACACCCCGCCUUUCCGAAACCCCGCUGUUCCGAACAUAGACUUCAAUUCAUCGUAAUGGCGGGGUUUCCCUUUUUUUCAAAGACCCCGCUAUUCCGAAAAGUCUAUUGGGGAAACCCCUCCAUUCCGAAACCCCCCCACUCCGAACGGACUCAAUCAGAAAGGAAACGGAGGCUGCACAUUUAUCCUUUUUUUCUUUGUGGGUUCAAACGGAUCAGGUGGCUGAUUAACCGCAA
ensembl:lncRNA